UACGUAGGCAGCAAGCGUUGUUCGGAGUUACUGGGCGUAAAGGGUGCGUAGGCGGCUCUAUAAGUAUGGUGUGAAAUCUCCCGGCUUAACUGGGAGGGUGCGCCGGAAACUGGAGUGCUCGAGCGUGGGAGAGGAAAGCGGAAUUCCUGGUGUAGCGGUGAAAUGCGUAGAUAUCAGGAGGAACACCUGCGGUGUAGACGGCUUUCUGGACCAUUGCUGACGCUGAGACACGAAAGCGUGGGUAGCAAACAGG
rnacentral:rRNA from 1 species